AAAGGCGAGGAUCGCGUUAGGACGAAAGCUGGGAAAGCCAGCCGAAGGAAUGCGUGGGAAAAGGUCUCCCGGAUGGAUCACGCGCGGACACAGCCGCCAAGGACGGCGGGGAAAGCCAGCCGAAUGCGAGGGAAGAUGUCUCCGGGAUAAGUGGCUAGUUAUUUGAGAACAGGAGAGAGAAGGCGCUUGUUUCUGUCUCCCUUAUCGGGAACAUAGCUAAGCGCCUUGCUUGGUGGUGAAGUGGUGGUUCACGCGCGGACACAGCCGCCAAGGAUGGCAGAGAAAGCCAGCCGACGGAAGGCGAGGGAAAAAGGUCUCCGGGAUAAUUGCCUGUUUAUUAGAGAAAAGAGAAGGCGCUUGUUUCUGUUUCCCUUAUCGGGGACCCGGCUAAGCGCCUUGCGUGGUGGGGAAGGGGUGGUUCACGCGCGGACACAGCCUUCAAGGAUGCCCGCCCGGUUCAAACAGCGCCCGUAAACAAACACAGCAUUCCUCCUUUCUUAACGAAAGCAGGAUAUGAUUGUGUACACCUGAGGAUUUCGAAUAGUACGAGCGGCACGUCUUACUGCGUUGGCACUAUCCCUCGAAGCUCCACUGCGAGCACGUCGCUGUGUGCGCGGUCACAGCCGCAAUGCCCAGCUGUUGUGUGCCAGGAUGCAAGUCGCGCGGCUCACAAGGAGUACCAGCCACCUCCUACCAUUUGUUUCCCAAAGAUGCCGUUCGUCGGACAAAGUGGAUAGAAGCAAUUUGGCCCCCGCAUAUUCGCCGGGAACCUGCAAAGGAAGCUCAUGUUUGUUCGAAGCAUUUCUUAGAGGAGCAUUUUGAUCGCACGCCCGCGUUCAAAGUCCGCCUACGAGAGCAUGCAGUUCCUACUCUCUUGCUACCUCAUCCAGUACAACAAGGUGAUAGAGCACCUGAUGCAGCAAGCACCGAUUCAUCCUUUGAUUCCCCUCAGCUCAUGCAAGGUUGCGCUGAAGGCUUGCUGCUGCUUGCAAAGGUAAACACUUCACUUGAUCAUUA